rnacentral:rRNA from 1 species
GCCUACAAGUCCUUUACUGACGCUAAAGCUCGAAGGUGCGGGUAUCGAACAGGAUUAGAUACCCUGGUAGUCCGCACGGUAAACGAUGGAUGCCCGCUGUUUGCGAUAUACUGUGAGCGGCCAAGCGAAAGCGUUAAGCAUCCCACCUGGGGAGUACGCCGGCAACGGUGAAACUCAAAGGAAUUGACGGGGGCCCGCACAAGCGGAGGAACAUGUGGUUUAAUUCGAUGAUACGCGAGGAACCUUACCCGGGCUUGAACUGCAGCAGAACGAUUGAGAGAUCAUGAGGUCCUUCGGGACUGCUGUGGAGGUGCUGCAUGGUUGUCGUCAGCUCGUGCCGUGAGGUGUCGGCUUAAGUGCCAUAACGAGCGCAACCCCUCUCUUCAGUUGCCAUCAGGUAGAGCUGGGCACUCUGGAGACACUGCCACCGUAAGGUGUGAGGAAGGUGGGGAUGACGUCAAAUCAGCACGGCCCUUACGUCCGGGGCUACACACGUGUUACAAUGGGUGGUACAGAGCGUCGGCGGCCUGCAAAGUCCGUCCAAUCGCAAAAUCCAUCCUCAGUUCGGACUGGGGUCUGCAACCCGACCCCACGAAGCUGG